rnacentral:lncRNA from 1 species
GACAAUAUGCUACACACAUAUCAUGUCUACCACACGUCAAUUCAUACGGUUGUGUUCAUUUUGGCCCUGAACAGAUCACAGAUUUCGUAGGAGCUUUAGAGAAUUUAGCCAUGUCAAUUCUCAUAAAUGUGGCCCCAUUUACUCAUAUAUAGGUGACAUUAAUUAAGAAUAGUCUGCCAUAUUCCUCUUGAUAACAAGAUAUUAAUGUCAUUAAAUGUAUAAAACAUAACCCCUCAAACUUCAACAGACAACACACAUUUUAUCAUAAGAAUGGGUAAGUUGUGUGUUCAACUUUUGAAUCAAACUUAACCAGUUUGCCUAUUGAACUUAGACCAUGGGAUCUCCAAUCAGCUAGGUUAGGUUUCUGCCCAGUUCGAUUCAUUGAAUUGGCUUAAGACCCAUUCCCCUCGAUGUAAAUAAUAUUUGCUCUCUUGGUAGG